rnacentral:rRNA from 1 species
GGGAUUGCCCUAGUAACGGCGAGUGAAGCGGCAACAGCUCAAAUUUGAAAUCUGGCGCAAGCCCGAGUUGUAAUUUGUAGAGGAUGCUUCUGGGUAGCGACCGAUCUAAGUUCCUUGGAACAGGACGUCAUAGAGGGUGAGAAUCCCGUAUGUGACCGGCCCGCACCCUUUACGUAGCUCCUUCGACGAGUCGAGUUGUUUGGGAAUGCAGCUCUAAAUGGGAGGUAAAUUUCUUCUAAAGCUAAAUACCGGCCAGAGACCGAUAGCGCACAAGUAGAGUGAUCGAAAGAUGAAAAGUACUUUGGAAAGAGAGUUAAAAAGCACGUGAAAUUGUUGAAAGGGAAGCGCCUGCAACCAGACUUCGCGGCAGUGUUCCGCCGGUCUUCUGACCGGUUCAUUCUCUGUCGCGAGGCCAUCAUCGUCUGGGCCCGCCGGAUAAGACCUGAGGAAUGUGGCUCCCCCUCGGGGGAGUGUUAUAGCCUCUGGUGAUGCGGCGUGGCUCGGGCGAGGUCCGCGCUUCGGCAAGGAUGAUGGCGUAAUGGUUGUCGGCGGCCCGUCUUGAAACACGGACCAAGGAGUCUAACAUCUAUGCGAGUGUUCGGGUGUCAAACCCCUACGCGUAAUGAAAGUGAACGGAGGUGGGAACCGCAAGGUGCACCAUCGACCGAUCCUGAUGUCCUCGGAUGGAUUUGAGUAAGAGCAUAGCUGUUGGGACCCGAAAGAUGG